rnacentral:rRNA from 1 species
UAUGAUGGCAAUAGCGCCUGGGAACCACCUGAUCCAUUCCGAACUCAGAAGUGAAACCAUGUUGCGCCGAUGGUAGUAUAGGGUCUCCCUAUGCGAGAGUAGGAAACCGUCAACU